UCCGUAGGUGAACCUGCGGAGGGAUCAUUACUGAGUUACCGCUCAUCAACCCUUUGUGAACAUACCUUAACUGUUGCUUCGGCGGGUAGGCGUCCCCUAAAAAGGACGUCUCCCGGCCCUCUCCCGUCCGCGGGUGGGGCGCCCGCCGGAGGAUAACCAAACUCUGAUUUAACGACGUUUCUUCUGAGUGACACAAGCAAAUAAUCAAAACUUUUAACAACGGAUCUCUUGGUUCUGGCAUCGAUGAAGAACGCAGCGAAAUGCGAUAAGUAAUGUGAAUUGCAGAAUUCAGUGAAUCAUCGAAUCUUUGAACGCACAUUGCGCCCGCCAGCAUUCUGGCGGGCAUGCCUGUUCGAGCGUCAUUUCAACCCUCAAGCUCUGCUUGGUGUUGGGGCUCUACGGUUGACGUAGGCCCUUAAAGGUAGUGGCGGACCCUCUCGGAGCCUCCUUUGCGUAGUAACAUUUCGUCUCGCAUUGGGAUUCGGAGGGACUCUAGCCGUAAAACCCCCAAUUGUUGACCUCGGAUCAGGUAGGAAUACCCGCUGAACUUAAGCAUAUCAAUAAGCGGAGGA
rnacentral:rRNA from 1 species